rnacentral:snoRNA from 1 species
UUCCCAGGUGAGGACAAUCUGAUAUGUAUCCUUGAAAACACUCCCAUACUUCUAGAAUGGUUUCUGUCUUCUGUUGUUGGAAACUGACAAUAUUUCCUCUUAAGGUA